AUGAAACACUCCUACGGGAGGCAGCAGUGGGGAAUAUUGCACAAUGGGCGCAAGCCUGAUGCAGCGACGCCGCGUGGGGGAUGAAGGCCUUCGGGUUGUAAACUCCUUUCGCUAUCGACGAAGCCACUUGUGGUGACGGUAGGUAGAUAAGAAGCACCGGCUAACUACGUGCCAGCAGCCGCGGUAAUACGUAGGGUGCAAGCGUUGUCCGGAAUUACUGGGCGUAAAGAGCUCGUAGGUGGUUUGUCGCGUCGUCUGUGAAAUCCCGGGGCUUAACUUCGGGCGUGCAGGCGAUACGGGCAUAACUUGAGUGCUGUAGGGGAGACUGGAAUUCCUGGUGUAGCGGUGAAAUGCGCAGAUAUCAGGAGGAACACCGAUGGCGAAGGCAGGUCUCUGGGCAGUAACUGACGCUGAGGAGCGAAAGCAUGGGUAGCGAACAGGAUUAGAUACCCUAGUAGUCCGAAGUUC
rnacentral:rRNA from 1 species